rnacentral:rRNA from 1 species
AGAGUUUGAUCCUGGCUCAGGACGAACGCUGGCGGCGUGCUUAACACAUGCAAGUCGAGCGAUGAAGUUUUCUUCGGGAAACGGAUUAGCGGCGGACGGGUGAGUAACACGUGGGUAACCUGCCUCAUAGAGUGGAAUAGCCUUCCGAAAGGAAGAUUAAUACCGCAUAACGUUGAAAGAUGGCAUCAUCAUUCAACCAAAGGAGCAAUCCGCUAUGAGAUGGACCCGCGGCGCAUUAGCUAGUUGGUGGGGUAACGGCCUACCAAGGCGACGAUGCGUAGCCGACCUGAGAGGGUGAUCGGCCACAUUGGGACUGAGACACGGCCCAUACUCCUACGGGAGGCAGCAGUGGGGAAUAUUGCACAAUGGGGGAAACCCUGAUGCAGCAACGCCGCGUGAGUGAUGAAGGUUUUCGGAUCGUAAAGCUCUGUCUUUGGGGAAGAUAAUGACGGUACCCAAGGAGGAAGCCACGGCUAACUACGUGCCAGCAGCCGCGGUAAUACGUAGGUGGCAAGCGUUAUCCGGAUUUAUUGGGCGUAAAGCGAGCGCAGGCGGUUUUUUAAGUCUGAUGUGAAAGCCCUCGGCUUAACCGAGGAAGUGCAUCGGAAACUGGGAAACUUGAGUGCAGAAAAGGACAGUGGAACUCCAUGUGUAGCGGUGAAAUGCGUAGAUAUAUGGAAGAACACCAGUGGCGAAGGCGGCUGUCUGGUCUGUAACUGACGCUGAGGCUCGAAAGCGUGGGGAGCAAACAGGAUUAGAUACCCUGGUAGUCCACGCCGUAAACGAUGAGUGCUAAGUGUUGGAGGGUUUCCGCCCUUCAGUGCCGCAGCUAACGCAUUAAGCAUUCCGCCUGGGGAGUACGACCGCAAGGUUGAAACUCAAAGGAAUUGACGGGGGCCCGCACAAGCGGUGGAGCAUGUGGUUUAAUUCGAUGCAACGCGAAGAACCUUACCUGGGCUUGACAUGUUCCCGACGAUCCCAGAGAUGGGGUUUCCCUUCGGGGCGGGUUCACAGGUGGUGCAUGGUCGUCGUCAGCUCGUGCCGGGAGAUGUUGGGUUAAGUCCCGCAACGAGCGCAACCCUCGUUCCAUGUUGCCAGCGGGUUAUGCCGGGGACUCAUGGGAGACUGCCGGGGUCAACUCGGAGGAAGGUGGGGAUGACGUCAAAUCAUCAUGCCCCUUAUGUCUUGGGCUUCACGCAUGCUACAAUGGCCGGUACAAUGGGUUGCGAUACUGUGAGGUGGAGCUAAUCCCUAAAAGCCGGUCUCAGUUCGGAUUGGGGUCUGCAACUCGACCCCAUGAAGUCGGAGUCGCUAGUAAUCGCAGAUCAGCAACGCUGCGGUGAAUACGUUCCCGGGCCUUGCACUCACCGCCCGUCA